AUGCAGGCCAUGGCCUUCGGCUGCCUUCCGGCAUGCAGCAGCGGGAAGAACAACACACGACCAUGGCCUUCGGCCUCUGCGUGGGGCUUCCUAGCGCGGCUCCUCUGCAGCCCCGACUCCUCUUGGAGUGGAGACGGCCAACGGCUGACGCGGCGCUCUUUCUUUCGGUCGGCGAACCCAUCUCGCUUGUCGGUUACUGCGGCGCUCGCGCCCACGCGGCACCAGGCUGUGGCGGUCGAGGGUAGCAGUGGACAACGGCCAUGGCCGCUCAGGCUGUGGCCGCCGCGGUGA
rnacentral:rRNA from 1 species